rnacentral:rRNA from 1 species
UCGUGGGUAACCUACCUAUAAGACUGGGAUAACUUCGGGAAACCGGAGCUAAUACCGGAUAACAUUUGGAACCGCGUGGUUCUAAAGUGAAAGAUGGUUUUGCUAUCACCUAUAGAUGGACCCGCGCCGUAUUAGCUAGUUGGUAAGGUAACGGCUUACCAAGGCAACGAUACGUAGCCGACCUGAGAGGGUGAUCGGCCACACUGGAACUGAGACACGGUCCAGACUCCUACGGGAGGCAGCAGUAGGGAAUCUUCCGCAAUGGGCGAAAGCCUGACGGAGCAACGCCGCGUGAGUGAUGAAGGGUUUCGGCUCGUAAAACUCUGUUAUUAGGGAAGAACAAAUGUGUAAGUAACUGUGCACGUCUUGACGGUA